ACCGACGAGGGCGACUACCAGAUCAAGCUGCGCAAGAUGCGCGAAUUCCUGGAAGAAGGCGACAAGGUCAAGGUCACGAUCCGCUUCCGCGGUCGUGAAAUGUCCCAUCAGGACCUCGGCCAGAAUCUGGCCCGCCGGGUCCAGACGGACAUCGGCGAAGACGGUGUGGUGGAGUCCUUCCCCCGCCUCGAAGGCCGCCAGAUGGUCAUGAUGAUCGGACCGAAGAAAAAGAUCUGAUCGAACGAGAAGGGCGCUCCGGCGCCCUUUUUCGUUUGAAUUCAUGUAUGAUCGCCGGCUCGGCCCGUAUGGAUGGGCCGA
rnacentral:misc_RNA from 1 species